GACGAACGCUGGCGGCGUGCUUAACACAUGCAAGUCGAGCGGUAAGGCCCUUUCGGGGGUACACGAGCGGCGAACGGGUGAGUAACACGUGGGUGACCUGCCCUCAGCUCUGGGAUAAGCCUGGGAAACCGGGUCUAAUACUGGAUAUGACUCCAUGACGCAUGUUGUGGGGUGGAAAGCCUUGUGCGGCUGAGGAUGGGCCCGCGGCCUAUCAGCUUGUUGGUGGGGGAUGGCCUACCAAGGCGACGACGGGUAGCCGGCCUGAGAGGGCGACCGGCCACACUGGGACUGAGACACGGCCCAGACUCCUACGGGAGGCAGCAGUGGGGAAUCUUGCGCAAUGGGCGAAAGCCUGACGCAGCGACGCCGCGUGAGGGAUGACGGCCUGGUGUAACGU
rnacentral:rRNA from 1 species